rnacentral:rRNA from 1 species
CCGGUAACCCACUCAGAGGGGGAGUAACACUUGGAAACAAGGGCUAAUACCGCAUAACAGUUUAUGCCGCAUGGCAUAAGAGUGAAAGGCGCUUUCGGGUGUCGCUGAUGGAUGGACCCGCGGUGCAUUAGCUAGUUGGUGAGGUAACGGCUCACCAAGGCCACGAUGCAUAGCCGACCUGAGAGGGUGAUCGGCCACACUGGGACUGAGACACGGCCCAG